rnacentral:rRNA from 1 species
GGUUGAUCCUGCCGGACCUGACUGCUAUCGGAUUGGUACUAAGCCAUGCGAGUCAUUGUAGCAAUACAAGGCGGACGGCUCAGUAACACGUAGUCAACCUAACCUAUGGACGUGGAUAACCUCGGGAAACUGAGAAUAAAACACGAUAGAUCAUGAUGCCUGGAAUGGCUUAUGGUUCAAACAAUUUAUUGCCAUAGGAUGGGACUGCGGCCUAUCAGCUUGUUGGUGAGGUAAUGGCCCACCAAGGCUAUAACAGGUACGGGCUCUGAGAGGAGAAGCCCGGAGAUGGGUACUGAGACACGGACCCAGGCCCUAUGGGGCGCAGCAGGCGAGAAACCUUAGCAAUGUGCGAAAGCACGACUAGGUUAAUCCGAGUGGUUCCUGCUAAAGGAACCUUUUGUCAGUCGUAAAACCACAGACGAAUAAGGGGUGGGCAAGUCUGGUGUCAGCCGCCGCGGUAAUACCAGCACCUCGAGUGGUCAGGAGGUUUAUUGGGCCUAAAGCAUCCGUAGCCGGCUAUGCAAGUCUCCGGUUAAAUCCAACUGCUCAACAGAUGGGCUGCCGGAGAUACUACAUAGCUAGGGAGCGGGAGAGGCAGACGGUAUUCGGUGGGUAGGGGUAAAAUCCACUGAUCCAUCGAGGACCACCAGUGGCGAAGGCGGUCUGCCAGAACGCGUUCGACGGUGAGGGAUGAAAGCUGGGGGAGCAAACCGGAUUAGAUACCCGGGUAGUCCCAGCUGUAAACGAUGCAAACUCGGUGAUGCGUUGGCUUAUGGCCAACGCAGUGCCGCAGGAAGCCGUUAAGUUUGCCGCCUGGGAAGUACGGACGCAAGUCUGGAACUUAAAGGAAUUGGCGGGGGAGCACACAAGGGUGAAGCCUGCGGUUCAAUUGGAUUCAACGC